rnacentral:lncRNA from 1 species
GGUAUUGGAGGUUCUUUGAAUAGGCAAAAGAUUAUAGAAUAGGAAGUAGCUGCACAUAAAUCGUGGAAAAAUUUGCAGAACAAAGCAUGUAGAGGAGUGUCGAGUGUUUAUGCCACGACCACCGUCGCCGUCAUCACCACCAUCACCACAAGCUUAAAUGAUUACAGGGAAGUCCUCGUCCACUUAAUGCUUUAUUUUACAAUGAGGACAUUGUAAUUGUUAAGUUUGGGAGAGUUAAUUAGUUUAGUUUUGCAUGUUUAAUGUAGUUGUUUUAGUUUUGCAUAAG